rnacentral:rRNA from 1 species
GACGAACGCUGGCGGCGCGCUUAACACAUGCAAGUCGAACGGAAAGGCCUGCUUUCCCUUGUGGAUUGCGGGUACUCGAGUGGCGAACGGGUGAGAAACACGUGAGUGAUCUGCCCCCAACUUGGGUAUAAGCCUGGGAAACUGGGUCUAAUUCCCGAUAGGACUGCAGGGUGGUGCCUGUGGUGGAAAACGAUUUUCUAGUGGUUGGGGAUGAGCUCGCGGCCUAUCAGCUUGUUGGUGGGGUAAUGGCCUACCAAGGCGGCGACGGGUAGCCGGCCUGAGAGGGUGGACGGCCACAUUGGGACUGAGAUACGGCCCAGACUCCUACGGGAGGCAGCAGUGGGGAAUAUUGCACAAUGGGCGGAAGCCUGAUGCAGCGACGCCGCGUGGGGGAUGACGGCCUUCGGGUUGUAAACUCCUUUCGACCGCGAGGAAGCCACCUGGUUGGAAGGGUGGUGACGGUAGUGGUAGAAGAAGCACCGGCUAACUACGUG